UCAUCAGCAGCACCAUGGCCGAGCCGAACACCAGCAUGCGGAACUGUUCAAGACCUCUGAACAGUUCAAAGCCGCCGAUCAUUGCGAGUGCAGCGAGCGCGACGCCGAGCUGCGAGCCCAUGCCGCCGAGCACGACGAUGGCGAGCACCAGCGCGGAUUCGUGGAACGUGAAUGAUUCAGGGCUGAUGAAGCCCUGGCGCGUGGCGAAGAAUGCGCCGGCAAAGCCGCCGAACAUCGCGCCGGUCGCGAAUGCGGUCAGCUUGGUCGUGGUAGUAUUGAUGCCGAGCGAACGGC
rnacentral:misc_RNA from 1 species